UACGUAGGGGGCUAGCGUUAUCCGGAAUUACUGGGCGUAAAGGGUGCGUAGGUGGUUUCUUAAGUCAGAGGUGAAAGGCUACGGCUCAACCGUAGUAAGCCUUUGAAACUGGGGAACUUGAGUGCAGGAGAGGAGAGUGGAAUUCCUAGUGUAGCGGUGAAAUGCGUAGAUAUUAGGAGGAACACCGGUGGCGAAAGCGGCUCUCUGGCCUGUAACUGACACUGAGGCUCGAAAGCGUGGGGAGCAAACAGG
rnacentral:rRNA from 1 species